UGAAUAGGUUAAUAUUUUGAUUGGUCUUAAAGCAUUGGAUUGGUAGCUAAUUGCAAGAGGCGCAAUAUGGACAAAGAAUGGAUGUCAGCUGAUAGGAUGUCAGUAGAAUAUAUAAAAGGGGUCGAUGAGUUUCUUAAAUUUAGUUUGGAUCAUGCCAAAGAUCCAAACUAUAUUUGUUGUCCUUGUAGUAAGUGUGGAAAUAUGAAAAAGAUGUCUGCCACAAUAAUAAAAGAACUGUAUAGUUUAUGUAUAUGUAAAGAUGUUUAAGAUAUUUAAUACUAAGAAUUGUACAUGUAUUACCAAUCUUUAUAUAGUGUCGUAAACAACCAAACAAUAUCGACUGCGGAUAUUACGUUAUGAGGAUGAUGAAGAAUGUACUUAUCAAUGCCCCUCAUAUCAAACAUUUCUUGUCGAAACAGUUCACCUCCGACAAACCAUAUACUACUCAAGAAAUUGACGAAGUUAGAGAAGAAUGGGCAAUGUCAUUUUUACAAUUGGUUAGAGAAAAAUGAAUGAUGUUAUAGCUAGCUAA